UACCGUCGACUUUGAUGGUGGUGAUUUGU
rnacentral:piRNA from 1 species